rnacentral:rRNA from 1 species
UGGGGAAUUUUGGACAAUGGGCGAAAGCCUGAUCCAGCAAUGCCGCGUGUGUGAAGAAGGCCUUCGGGUUGUAAAGCACUUUUGUCCGGAAAGAAAUGGCUCUGGUUAAUACCUGGGGUCGAUGACGGUACCGGAAGAAUAAGGACCGGCUAACUACGUGCCAGCAGCCGCGGUAAUACGUAGAGUCCAAGCGUUAAUCGGAAUUACUGGGCGUAAAGCGUGCGCAGGCGGUUGUGCAAGACCGAUGUGAAAUCCCGAGCUUAACUUGGGAUUGCAUUGGUGACUGCACGGCUAGAGUGUGUCAGAGGGGGGUAGAAUUCCACGUGUAGCAGUGAAAUGCGUAGAGAUGUGAAGGAAUACCGAUGGCGAAGGCAGCCCCCUGGGAUAACACUGACGCUCAUGCACGAAAGCGUGGGGAGCAAACAGGAUUAGAUACCCUGGUAGUCCACGCCCUAAACGAUGUCAACUAGUUGUUGGGGAUUCAUUUCCUUAGUAACGUAGCUAACGCGUGAAGUUGACCGCCUGGGGAGUACGGUCGCAAGAUUAAAACUC